GGAGAGUUGUCCGAGUGGCUGAAGGAGCAGCAUUGGAAAUGCUGUAUACGGGUUCAAGCCUGUAUCAAGGGUUCGAAUCCCUUACUCUCCG
rnacentral:tRNA from 2 species